rnacentral:rRNA from 1 species
CCUACGGGUGGCAGCAGUGAGGAAUAUUGGACAAUGGGCGCGAGCCUGAACCAGCCACGUAGCGUGAAGGAUGACUGCCCUACGGGUUGUAAACUUCUUUUAUAAAGGAAUAAAGUGAGGCACGGGUGCCUUUUUGUAUGUCCUUUUUGGAUAAGGAUCGGCUAACUCCGUGCCAGCAGCCGCGGUAAUACGGAGGAUCCGAGCGUUAUCCGGAUUUAUUGGGUUUAAAGGGAGCGUAGAUGGGUUGGUAAGUCAGUUGUGAAAGUUUGCGGCUCAACCGUAAAAUUGCAAUUGAUACUGGCAGUCUUGAGUACAGUUGAGGUAGGCGGAAUUCGUGGUGUAGCGGUGAAAUGCUUAGAUAUCAGGAAGAACUCCGAUUGCGAAGGCAGCUUACUAAACUGCCACUGACAUUGAUGCUCGAAAGUGUGGGUAGCAAACAGGAUUAGAUACCCCUGUAGUC